rnacentral:lncRNA from 1 species
UGAAUGAUAUUUCUCAUUUUAGACCGAUUUUUCUAGUGCGAUUCCUAUAUAAAAUUGUGCCCAAGGUACUAUCUCGAAGAAUCUAGGAAGUUAUAUAUGGUAUUGUGAGUGGUACACAAUGUGCAUUUAUAAAAGGGAUACAGGUUUUCGAUGGAAUUUUGGUGCCAAAUGAAAUUAUCCAUUCAAUUAAGAAAAGUUCAAACAUG